UCCUCGCCCUGGUCCAUGUAGAGGUCGUGAGCACCCUCGUCCGUCUCGUACUCCCACAUCCACACCUGCUCCGCCUCAUCGCUACGCCAACCGUGAAGGAACAGAGCAUGCUGGGAAGAUGAUGCUACAAGUACACUGAAUCUCGUCCAGGAACGGGUGGAAAACCACAUAUCGAAAGUGCACUGCAGGAGGAGAGAGAGAAUGAGGAUGUGCUGGACACAGAGUCUCUGUGUGAACGCAGUGAGGAACAGUCACCUUUAGUGUGAGACGCUCCGUCUCCGGGAAAGAUGUAGGAGUCCUCCAGUUUAGUGAUGUCAUAAAGACAGAUACACAAACCCACAUUAUACACCACCUGCAGACGGGCGGAGGAGUUCAGACGACACAAAUUUCCUCAGCUCACCUUGUUGGCGAGUUUCUUGUUGAGCUCCUCGGCGAUCGCGUCGUUCAGCUGUCGGUGGAAACUCCACGGCGGAAUCCGGACCGUGUCCACCAUCUCCACCAGCACAAACAUCCUCGACCA